rnacentral:rRNA from 1 species
UUCGCAAUGCCCGAAAGGGUGACGAAGCGACGCCGCGUGGGUGAAGAAGGCCUUCGGGUUGUAAAACCCUGUCAGGAGUUAUGAAAUGUAAGUGCGCUAAUAUCGUGCUUAUUUGACAAAGGCUCCAAAGGAAGCCACGGCUAACUCUGUGCCAGCAGCCGCGGUAAUACAGAGGUGGCGAGCGUUGUUCGGAAUUAUUGGGCGUAAAGAGCACGUAGGUGGGUUUGCAAGUCAGAUGUGAAAGCCUUCUGUUCAACGGGAGAAUUGCAUCUGAAACUGCUAAUCUUGAGUAUAGGAGGGGAGAAUGGAACUUCUGGUGGAGCGGUGAAAUGCGUAGAUAUCAGAAGGAACGCCGGCGGCGAAAGCGAUUCUCUGGCCUAUUACUGACACUCAGUGUGCGAAAGCUAGGGGAGCAAACGGGAUUAGAUACCCCGGUAGUCCUAGCCGUAAACGAUGGGCACUAAGUAGA